UACGUAGGGGGCAAGCGUUGUCCGGAUUCAUUGGGCGUAAAGAGCGUGUAGGCGGCCAGGUAGGUCCGUUGUGAAAACUCGAGGCUCAACCUCGAGACGUCGAUGGAAACCAUCUGGCUAGAGUCCGGAAGAGGAGUGUGGAAUUCCUGGUGUAGCGGUGAAAUGCGCAGAUAUCAGGAAGAACACCUAUGGCGAAGGCAGCACUCUGGGACGGUACUGACGCUGAGACGCGAAAGCGUGGGGAGCGAACAGG
rnacentral:rRNA from 1 species